GCAGCACUUUCAAUUUACAAGAUGGCCGACAGAAGUAUGUAGAAUACGGUUUGUCGUGAGUUCGUUUAGUGAAAAGUAUUCAAUAAUUACGUUUUAAAAGUAGUACUUUUGAAAAUCAUAUCGAGCACGCGUUGCAGUUCCGUUUUGCAAAGUUAUCAACACAAGAAAUUGAGGACAUUUCUCUGAAACUAGAUUCAAAGACACAUUCGAUUGCAUAAAGGGAAGUCAAACGAAAAUUUUGAGUGAUGCGUCGCAAAAGCGAACGGACGAAAUCGACAAGUUCGCCGGUGAGAAGCGUUGAACGGUCGAGCAGGCGUUCUAGCCGCCGCGGGAAGGGCUCGCCGACGAAAAGUCCGGAGCCGGAUGCAUCUCAGGCGGAUCAACACAAUGAGGAUAAGGUAAGCGAAACAGAAGUUGACGGCGAUAACGAAAAAACGCGCGAUUCCAGCACAGACCGCGACAGUGAAGACCCGCAGUCGAGAGGUCGCCGCCAGACAAGAAGAGCAUCGAGGUCCGAUGACCGAGCGACCCGGGCGUCUCGUCGCAAAAUUGAAACAAUUGAAGAGGAAACCGGAACUGCCCACGAGAAUGGAGAGUCGUCCCUCACCAAAGGCGAUAGCGAAUCUGGUCAGAAGUCAUCAGACAGAGAAGUCCACAACGAGGCGGAGGAUGCCAAGUGCAAUGAAAAGUCUGCAAACUCGGAGGAGGUGAAAGAACAAAGACGCUCCUCGAAGUCAGAGGAUAACCGCAAGGAUGAUAGCAAGAACGAGAAAGGCGAGGAUGAAAAUUCCAGUCCAAAGAAGGAGUCCCUUUCCCAAUCGAGCAAGGAUACUGAACCACAGCCGGAGGGUGGGAACAAUGAAUCCAAAGUAGUAGAAAAGGAGCCGGACAAAGUAAACGAAUCCAAUAAAGACAAAUCUCCCGCUCGUGAUUCUGACGCUGAAGAGCCAAGCCGUGGUGCGCGCAACGAUAAAUCCAGUGGUGAUGCUGACAAGGGCUCAGGUGAUCACAGGCAUCGGUCUCAUAACUCAUCGUCAUCUUCAGAUCGACGACCAUCAGAUGGUUAUGAUCGUAGAUCUCGCGAGCAACGAGAAAACCGGAAAAGCAAGUCGGACGAGAGCACCCGAUCGUCGGACAGGGAACAUCGCCACAGUCGCUCAUCAUCGGGCAAAGACCGCUCUGUUGAAAAGGAUUACCGGAAACGCAGUGGAUCCUGCGAAAAAGAGCGGCCUAAGGAGAAUGACCACACUAUUCGUCGUACAGUGGAGAAAUCUACCGAGGACAGAAAUGAAGAAAAGGAAAAUAAAAAGGCUUCGGACGAAACGGAUAAAGCGAACAAGGAUUCAGAGAGCAAGUCCGAAAGGCAACCACCCGUUCGGAAACGCCGUUGGCUAUCUCGGAAGGCGUCCGAUUCGAAACCUCAGGUCCUAGCCAUAUCGACAGACUCUCUGAAGAAUUUGAUAUCCGACGUGGAACCAGUUCCGCUAAGCGACAUCAAGUUGGAAUCGUCACCAGAACCCGAGGAAAGGAGAUCAAAAUCGCCUUCAGAGGAACCUGACCGCAGGGAGAAGGAAAAAAGUCGCUCGCAUCGUGAUCGACGAUCUCGCGAACGGGAUGGUUCAAAGAAGCGCGAAGAAAAGAGCCUGCAAAAUUCAAAUAGAAAAAUAUCGAUUAUCCCGGACGAUGGCAAACUACAGCGGCCACCAAGCCCGCCUCGGAACGUGUCCAGUUGCAUUCUGUACAUAACGAAUCUGGUCAGACCCUUCACAUUGCUGCAGCUCAAAGGGCUGCUGGCGCGGACUGGGAAAAUUGUGGAGAAUGGGUUCUGGAUGGAUCGGAUAAAAUCUCAAUGCUACGUGAAAUACGAAACGGAAGAUCAAGCCAUUGAAACACGACAUGCUCUGCAUGGUGUUCGCUGGCCCACAUCCAAUCCAAAAUGUCUAAAUGUGGACUUCGACACGGAAGAGGCUAUGGAGAAGGCGAUUGCGUCGACGCUGGAGGAGACCCCGAGGUUCGGAGCGGAGAAUCCACGGGAGAACAGGGGGGCCGGGGCUGGUUGGGAUGCACGGGAAAGGUUUGAUUACGACGAGAAAAAGGAUAUUCAGGUGAGUAGGCCCGUUCGAGAGUGGGACGUUGGAAAGAAGGAAGAACUCGAACGUGAAAUGGAGCGCAAUCGUGAACGAGAACGGGAACAUCGGGAGCGACGUGACGGACGCGGAGGAAGGCGACAUUCGAAUGAGCGAGAUCGGGACAAUGUCCGCGAUCGGCAAAACCGAAGUAAUUCAGCAUCGCCAGCGAGAAAGUUCAGGAAAAAGGAAAAUGAUCCUCCACUUCGCCUUCUUGAUGAUCUGUUUAGGAAAACGAAAAUCACACCGUGUAUAUAUUGGUUGCCAUUGACACCUGAACAGAUCGCUGAGAAGGAGGAAGCUCGUCGAAAACAUAUGGAGGAUCUUGAAAAACGUACAGAAGAAAUUCGCAAGGAACGCGAAAGAGAACGUGAACGAGAGCGUGAACGUGAGAAAGAACGUGAACGUGAAAGGGAACAGCGGGAACGCGAAAGAGAACGUGAACGUGAAAAAGAUCGUGAAAGAGAACGCGAUCGGACUCGUGAUCGAGAGAACAGACGAGAACGCUCGAACGAACGUUCAGGCGAUCGCCGACGAUCACGCAGUAGAGAUAGACGGCGAUACUAAUUGAAUAACAGAGAGAAAACGCUAUUGCAAACAAACAUUGAAACCUACUGCUCUAAGAUAGAAUAUUCAAAUCACCGAACGAGAAGACAUGAAGAGAACCGCAGACGAAUAUAAUCAUGAAAGCAUGCUUGCAUAACGACAAAGCAGAACAAAACGGGAAUGAUUAUACAGUUAGGAAAAACCCUUUGCUUUAGGAUGUUUGGAUAACAGCGGCGGAUGCAGUGUCUACCACGAAUAUAGAAGAGGAAGCUGAAAAAGUCUCUUCUACCUGUCUCUAAGAGUGUGUAACAGUAUUUGAGCGUGUAUCCUCUACCAAUUUUGGUCGGCAGCCGUCACCCUCAGUCUCCUGCUUGUGAAUUUUCUGAGUAAAUCAACUUGGCCAGCGAAUAUUUUUCGAGAUAAAUCGAUGUUGAGUGUAAAAUGAAAGGAGAUCAAUUAUGAUAUCAAUUGAGCUAAUUGCUGUAUGCGAUUUGUUACGAAAAUUCGUUACACCCAAACAUGUCGCCUAUCAGUAAAGUUGCAGAUCUCCACUGAACAGACCUCCAUAUUACAAAACGGAUUUAAAGAGAAAGGAUGGACAUAAUUAUCUGGAGUUAGAUGACACGUAAAUUGUUUCGUAAAUUUAAUGGAACACAACAAGUACUUGUGUGUCUGAAGUGACAGUCAUCGAAAAAAUAUUUAGCCAGCACGACAAAGCAAUCCAAUUGAAAUUGGAAGGAUGAUUGCUCAACGAUGGACAAGGAGAACUCUAGGCUUCUCACCAUAUAUGAAAUGCAGAUUUGGUACAAUCGAGCGAACCAUCAUCAUGAUACAAUACAAUACAGUAGAUUUCAAAAUCAAUCAUUCACAUAUGUAAUUACUAAUGGUAAUAUUAAAAGUUUUCUUUUUUAAA
rnacentral:misc_RNA from 1 species